AAUCAACGCUGGCGGCGCGCUUAACACAUGCAAGUCGCACGAGAAAGGGAGCAAUCCUGAGUAAAGUGGCGUACGGGUGAGUAACACGUGGAUCAUCUACCUUUUAGUGGGAAUACCUCCGGGAAACUGGAGACAAUACCGCAUAAGCUCGAAAGAGGAAAGCAGCAAUGCGCUGAAAGAGGAGUCCGCGGCUGAUUAGCUAGUUGGUGAGGUAAUGGCNCACCAAGGCGAAGAUCGGUAGCCGGCCUGAGAGGGCACACGGCCACACUGGCACUGAAACACGGGCCAGACUCCUACGGGAGGCAGCAGUGGGGAAGUCUUGCACAAUGGAGGAAACUCUGAUGCAGCGACGCCGCGUGAGCGAUGAAGCCC
rnacentral:rRNA from 1 species